CUAUAAAUAAAUAAAAAUUAUAUCAUUUCAGAUAGCUCGCCUAUAUCAUGCAGUAUUCAAAGUGAGCUUUGUUGUUGUUGGUGCCAAACUAAUUUUAUGCAGAUAAUUAAUUUAACUAAUUAAAUUAAUUUUCAUCAACGCGUCGAGGUGCAGUUCGAACACUAAGAAAUGCAAAGACCACGACAGAGCUGUUCUACACAGACUUAUUCAUUCACCAGUUAUAUUUUAUAAAUAGUACAUUAUUUAUCAUUUUUCACAUUUGGACAAUUUUAAGAGAACA